UGGCACUUAUUUCCAUUCAUAAUCAUAUAUAUAUAUAUAUAUACAUACAAAGAUUUGUAUCAUGACUGAAUUAAUUGAUGUGCAGUCUCCAUUACUCUCUGGUGUCUGAUCGAUUUGCUCCAUCCAUACAUUCAUUACAGAUUGUUUAGUAUACGUAAAACAAAUAAUAAAUUUUACAAUCAAUUUUAAGAAGAAAAAAAAGAAGAGAAAAACAACCCAAACCGAAUAUUCACUCACAUGCCAGUCUUCACGCACACAAUGGCAGAAACCUCGACUUCCAAACGCCAGCAGCUAUAUACAAUAUAAUACAGACUGAGGUUUCCCUAGUAUAUUUUAUUUGAAAAGAAAACAGUGAUUUAGACGACCAUGCUAAAUCAUAUUAUAUCUCCCAAAUAAAUUGAAAAGCUCGUAAUAGCUGAACUUCACGAGAAACUAUUAGGUAGUUAACUGAGAUCAUUACGUAUGUAUUUAUGAUUUGAACUAACCUUUGCAUGACACAUAUUUAAGUUUUUUUUUUUUUUUUGUAGUUUACGAGGAAGAGGAGGAGCUGAUAAUACUAAAUUAUGUGUCAGAGAUUAGUUGAAACCACGAUAAUUUUGAACUAUCUGAUAAUUUCUCUAACACAAUUAAUUAUUAGCCAUAGUUGUGAUGGCCACCAUGAUCAUGAUAACUCGCAGCAGCAACAUCUGCAGCUUCUUGAAUCUCAAUGACUUGAUAGGAAGUGGUUACGGUUGGUGGUGGUUGUUGAUCAACUGGGGCAUAUUGAUGUGUAGGUGGAGGUUGAGGAGGAUCCUGGUCGUCGCAAGGCUCGGGUUCGGGUUCGGGUUGAGGUUGGGGUUGAGGCUUGGGUUUGGGCCUUGCGAGGAAGAAAACAGCAAGGAGGAGAAAAGCGACCAAGAAGCCCCCUAGAGAAACGGAAACCGCUAUAAUAGCUUUGUUGUUGUACUCAUACUUAAUAAUAGUAUAAGGAGGAGGAGCGGGAUUAUAAGUUGUGUUUGGAGGAGGAGCGGGAUUAUAAGUUGUGUUUGGAGGGCAUGAGCAGUUAUACUUAUAUGGAAUUGGUGGAAGUGGUUGGCUCAUGUUACAGUUUGGAGGUGGUGGUGGUGGUGGUGGUGGAGGGAGUUUUGGCUUGGUCAUGUUGCAAUCUGGUGGUGGUGGUGGUGGUGGAGAAUAGUAUGGAUAAUGUGUUGGAGGUGGAGGGGGUGGUGAAGAGUAUGAAGGACUCAUUGUAAAGCUAGCUUUGAUGAAUAUAUGAGAUAUCAAAAUGCGCUAUCGGCUCUUGAAUAAUUAGUUCUGAGGGUUUAAAGUGUGCGGGGGUACCCUCUAUUUAAAGUGUGUGUUUUGCAACCUCAUGUCUCUACACUAUUUUUACACGUCAUGAUUAGAUAAUAUCGUCUUAAAUUUAAGAUUUCGUUUAAUUUUAUAUACUCUGUAUAUAUAUAUAUAUUAAAGUAUCAUUAAACAUGUGAACUAAUUAUUAUGAAUUUAUUUUAACUUAGGUAGAAGACUCGAAAAAAAAAAGAAAACAAUUAAUUUAAUCGGAACUGACGUGAAAAGGAAUACCUAUAAAUUCAAGAAAGAGUAUUUACACACUUCAAAAAAUAUAUUUUAUUUCUCUUUUCUUAAUAUAUUUCUCUAUUUUUUAGUAUCUAUUAGGAUGAUAUGUGUAUCCAUCAUUUUCCUUCAUGUAAACAAGCAACAAGUUGUAGUUAGAACUGUGAUAAAAUUCCAUGCUUAUGCCAAUGCCACGGUGUCAUUAGUUUGACUUAUUCAAAUCAUUCUCUGACAAAUUAAAGCAUCUGACAUCAAACGGUUUUAUUUAAUUAGCAAGGUCGAGCUCGUGUCCUGAGCUGCUGAUCACUUAAGGUGGUUUGUAUGUUUGAACUUGAGAGUACUCUUCUCAACCAUGAGCACCAAUGCUCGAAAGAAAGAAAGAAAAAAGCUCUUAUAUCAAAACUUUGCCGUGGCUGCUUCUAUUUCUCCUAAACUAGAAAUUAUUAGGUGAUACCAUUAUUUGAUCAUUUAUGAUUUCGACUAAUAAUUGUCUACCAUCAAAGAUGUACUCAUUAACUACCUAAUAAUAAUUAAUUGUAUUAUUCUUUAAUUUAAAAGAUUUUAAUCAAUCUAAAAUAUUGAAUUAUUAUCUACGUGUUGUGAUUAUAAAUUGGGAUCAUAAAUGACAUGUUUAGACCCCCUAUUAAUUUCUCCUUCUAAACCUGUGUCUCCUCCUCAGUUACCAUUCUUUCUCUCCCCCUGUUAUGCACCUUUGCUUUGUCUCCCCUCUCCUCUUCCACCCCCUUCUCUCCCGUUCUUUCUUUUUUACCUUUGUUACUUUCUCUCCCUCUUUUCUACAGUUAAUAUUUUUCCUCUACCUCUGUCUCCCCCUCUCCCUUUCUCUUCCUUCCACCCCCACACUUUUUUUAAUCAAAAGAUAUAGGUUGAUGCUUCUAUUAAUAAUAUAAAAAAUUAUCAACAUUUGUUUUUCUUAUUAAAUAAUAUUUUCAUAGCCACAGUUUAUGUUGGGAUUAGAAUACUAUACUUAAUAUUUGAUUUUAGUAUUUAUUAAUCAUAAAAAAAAUAAAUCAAUUAAUCAUUUAAUUUUUAUUUACAAAAAAUCUAUUUUCCUAACUAUUUUUGAAUAUUUAUCAUUUAUAAAUUGACUAAUGUUUAUUUUUUAUAAAAAAAUAUUAAAUUUCAAUUUUGAAAUAAACAUUCAAAAAUAAAAUUUUACAUUAUUUGGUGGAAAUUGAAUUACUUUAUACAAACAAAAAAAAUUAAAAUAAAAAAAACUUGAAUUGGUUAGUCCAAAUAUAAAGCAUCUUGAAUAUAAAAAAAAUAUAAUUAAAGCAAUUAAAUUGCCAUAAAUUUUUAAUUCCUCAGAAUUUUUAAAUCUUCUAUAUAAACACAAUCUAAAGCUCUUUUUGUUUAUGUUGAUCAAGAGUAUAUCAAUGAAAUAUACUAAUUAGUAUAUAUAACAUUUAGCGUGUUCAUAUAUAUGGUUUUGAUUAUUCAAUUUUGGAGGAAAACUUAAUUUCUUUUAAAAUAUUCUUUCAAUAAACUAUUUAAUCAUAAACUAGUUAUUUUUAACUACUAAAUGAGUUAAUAAAAUUAAUCCACAUGACACUGAUUCAAAUAAAAUAGAGACUCAGAUAUUUUAAGAUUUUAUAUUCAAAUCUUUUGAUAAAAAAAAUAUGAUUAAAAGAGUAAAUUAAGGUAAUCAGAUUUUUAACAAAAAUUAAUCAUUCGUAAAAUUAAUAAAUACUUCCUAUCAUUAACAACAUGAUAAUAAAAAAACAAAAAUUAAGUGUAAAUAAUUAUACAAAUUGCAAUCAGCUAGAUAGGACGCUCAGAAAAUAGCAUUUUUAGUUUAUGCCAUAUGCCAUGUAGCCUUUUCGUAAUUUUUCCAUUGACAUUAAACAUCUUUAAUGCCCAUCAAACCGAUGAAGUUUUGUUUGAGGCAGACGUGGACGUGGACGUGGACAGAGCUUCAUGAGCUAGCUAGAUGAUAUUUGUGUCUGUUAUCUGUUAUCUGUUACAAUGUCAAACAACUAUUUGUGCAGUGGUCAAAUAGUAUUCAAGAUUUUCUAGCUAAACUAGCCAAGUGUGAUAGUUAUUCGUUUUAUAUACCUUUUACUUCCGAUUCCAACUCACCAAUAGUGAUGUACGUUGGGCAUUCAGAAACGCCAUAUAGAUUAGUGGUGGGGUGUAUUUUAAGAUUUUAAUAUUCUGUUAAGUUUUUUUGUGCUGGUGGACAAGUAGACAUAAUCAAUCUGAAAGCACAAAUAAGCAAGUUUCAUAUUGUUUUAAGCCAACUUGAGGGAGCACAAUCUAGUAAACCGCUAAUUUUCAUUUAAUUGCAGUCGAUCAAAUAAAUUCAAAGUAAAAGAUGAGUUGAGUUUCGUGUAAGCGGGAAAUGAGACUAGAAUAUUAAAUAGAAAAUAUUUUGAAGACUUGCCACUGCAGCCAACUUGGUUUGCUUUCAUACUGUUAAUAACGUUCGCCAAUAUAUGCACAUUAUUAAUUUUUUUAUAGGGAAUUAAUUAGUUAUUAGUUAGAAUUUAACUAAUAUCAUCUCUACUUGUAUAAAAAUCAAUCUUAUAUAUACCAACACAUUUUAAGACGUGUUCAAUAGGUAUAUAUCGUUAGCCUAAAAAAUAUAUAUUGGAAACUAAUAAAAAAGUAUUCUUAACAUGAUUUUCAAGCAAUUAUUAUAUAAAAGUCAAUAAAUUUAUUUUAUGAUUUUUUUAUUAGAUAAAAAUGUGAAAAGAAUAAAAAAAAAUUACACUGUUUAUGCAUAUAUUUUUUCUUUCAAAUAUGUUUAUUUCUAUUUAUCAUACAAUGAAAAAAGAAAUAAUAAUAAAGAAUAAAUAAUGAGGCAGUAUAUUAGUAAAUAUGAAGAUAAUUUAUUUUAAUAAUCAUUACAUAUCUUGAAUUGUUUUUUAUUGAUAUAAUUUUUAUUAAUAAAAGUUAAAUUAUUACAUUCACAUUACAAAUCUAUAUCAGUAGUAUGAUACACUACGCUAACAAAUAAUUUUGUUUAGAUAGAAAAUUUUAUAUUACGAAUAUAUAAAAUAUUAAUGUAUUGCAUCAUAUUAUUAGUAUAGAUUUAUAAUUUAUAUGUUAACUAUUUAAUUUUUUUGGGGAAAAUAUUAUAUUAGUGAAAAUAAUUAUAAAAUUUUUCUUUUCAAUUAGUACAUAAUGUAUAUAAUUUUUAUAAUCAAUACUAACGGACAAAACUAUGUUAGUUAUAGAUAGGGGUUUCGUAAUUCCUACUAACAUUCAUUAAAAAUAUAUAAAUAUAAUCAUUAACACGACUUGGUAGUGCUGAAUAUGAAAUGCGUGGUGUAGGUGUUAUGCUUAUAUAUACCACUUUCGAAUAAUUUUUUAUAGUACAUAAAAUACAUUAUCACGAGUUACUAAUUUCUCUAUAUAAAUCUCGGGCAUGCUUAUAUAUGAAUUGAAUGUCAUAAUAUUAUUUUAAAAAAAGUCAUAUGACCGUUAACAAAAAAAAUCAUGUGAUUUCUUAAAAAAAAAUAUAUCAUUUAUUAUAUGGACUGAAGUGACAUAUUUUUAUCCUAAUUACGAGUUAAUAACGUUUAUAUUUUAUUAACUUUUAAUAUUGUAUAAAUAAAUAGAAUUAAUAAUGAAGAUUCCAUGCAUUUAAAUUUUCAAUUUUAGAUAACGUUGGCUUGAAAAAAUUUCAAAUUCAUGGAAAGUAUAUUUCGACUUUAGGUAUUUGGAUUUCCUAUUCAUCCAAAAUUACAGUUUUAAUUUGACAACCAUGACAAAGAUGUUGCAUCAACAUGCGCGUAAUUAAUUAGUAUAUUAGACAGAAUUCAAUUUGAAUAUAACUUAGUUUACAAUAAGUAUAGUUAAUCAGACCGGUUUACAAAUAAUAUAAGUAGUUAGGCUUUUUAGUAUACUUGCAACUGCUUAACUGCAAGAGUGCGUGCUACUACUCUCUCAUUGUAGUUUAUAAAUUCGUCUAAUUCUUAUUUCUAUAUCAUAUUUUAUUUUAUUAAUUCAAUAUAUACUAUGGAAGUCCUUUGUUCUACUUUGAAUUGUAUGAUGUUUUUCCCUAUGGAAUUUACUUGCAUUUAAUCCCAAAUUUCUAGCAUUAUUGACUAGAAAUGAUACGAAUGAAGGGUAUUUAUGUUUAUAGCAAUAGGGGUGAAGACAGUUAGUGAUUUUAGACGCGGGAGAAACAGAGAGAACGAAGAACACAGCCUAAGAGUGCAUCAAGCUCAUUCACAUUUCAAAGCAUAAAUAAAACCAAGAUUGGAAGAUUAAAGAACACAAAGAAAGUGGAAAACACCAAGGAUUAAAGGUUUGAGAAGAAGAUGCAGUAUGAAAAUCCUAAGAAUCUAAUUGACAUAGGUUACUUUAGGCUAAUGUGCACAAAAGUUGCAUAGUGCAGUAACACUAGGCAAACACAUGAAAUCUACAAGUCCUCUAUUGGCAAGCCCACGAUUGUAUUCUAAUGCAAGGGUGAGAAGUGUGAAAUCUAGGAGACUAGGAGGUUUCUUCCAUGGUGGCUUUCUCAAAGAAACAUGACAUACUUGAUGAUAUAAAAGGUCCUUGAAAACGUGCAAAAGCUUACUGCCAUGAACAAUCACUAUGAUGCUGUGUAUAGGAUCCUUACUUAAUGUUUGCAUUCAAGAAGGAAAAACAAACUGCGCCAAAUGGGUAAUCAAAGAAAGUAAAAAGCUACAUUUAUUUCAAAUUGAAGUUAAUUUUUUGGGAUGUUCAGCUCAACAUGUGUUCAUGCCAUCACAUCUGAUAAAUACAAGGGUCUUUGCCACAACUUUCCAAUCCAUCACAUACCUUCCAGCUUGUAGGGGUUCACAAAGAUGUUGCCUAACCAUGUGUAGCCUGUAUAGGUAGUAAGGCUUGUUACUUGUCCGUUGAAUGUUGCAGCUACUAAAUUGCAUGCUUUCCUAUUACUACAUUUAGCUCUUUUUCAUUGUAGUUUAGUUCUUUCAUUUUAUAAAUACUUAGAAGUUUCUACUUGGAACCUUUUUUUUCCCUAAUAUGAUAAUGGUAAAAUAUUACUUUUUUCAGAAAAAAUAAUGACAAAUCUUUGUUGGAGUGGAAGCGCAUAUGAAAUGAGUAUUUUUCUUUUCACAUAAUUUAUUUCAUAUUAAGUGUUGAUUAUAAUUUAAAUCUUAGACUAUUUAAUUAAGAGAUAUAAAUUACUACUAUUUGUGUGAUCAUAAUUAUUUUUUUUAUAUCAUACCUUAUUCAUUCAAUAUAAAAUUGCACACUUUAAUAGAAAUUCCUACUUGCAUUACUCCCAAAAUUCCAACAAGCCAAACAUUAAAUAUUUUAUGUUGAAAAUUUUAUCCCAUUAAAUAACUAUUUUCUUUACUAUUUUUUCUAAUACUAGUGUUCUGUUGCUUCCUUCUUCUUUUUUUUCUUAAGAAAAGUGUUCUGUUACCUUAGUCUCAAAUAUGUUCAAUUUCAAUAUUUUUGUAUAAAUCAGAUUUAAUUAAGAUGAAAAUAUAAUAAUUUCUACUAUCGGAUUUAAUUUAGUUAAGUAGAAUGCGUGAUUAUUAUAUAUAGAUAUUAUUAUCGUGUUCUAUUCCUACUUAUCCAAAUAAAAUAAGAAUCUCUACCAAAGUGAUGCUUGUUUUCUCAUAAGAUUUCUCUAUCAAUCCCGCCGCAAAUAUCUGCUAAAAACAAUUCGAUUUUAGUAUUUUGAAAAGUAAUUUCCAGCCCAUGUGGUGUGGUUCCCGGCACAUAAGCAGAUGGACCGUACGUGACGCACUAAAGCACCCCUCACUGUCAACAAAAGGGGGACCUGAUUUUACUUUUACUUUUCUCCCUCAAAAUAUAUUAUAGCAUUGCAUUAUUCUCCACUAAUCCAAGCAGAGCAUCCUCUGAUACAGUCAACGCUACCACAACAACACGGAUCCAACACUCACUCUCUCUUACAUCCAUCUUGUUCCGAAUUGAAGAAGCUAUGCCACAUCCCCGCCCUCUCCAUCUACACCCGCCUCGCCGUGUUCUCCAUCACCGUCGUCACCCACUCCUUCGCCGGCCACCUCCAUCUCCUGCCCCCUCCUCAUCUCCAUCACCUUCGGUUUCUUGGAAGUAACCCACCCCAUCCAAAACACUUUCCACUUACCACCACCUUUCUUUCACUAUUUCCCACUCUUAUCAACCCACAUUAUAUAUAUAUAUAUAUAUAUUCUAUUUUAUUCGCAAAUGUUAAUCGUUAGUUUGAUAGUUUUUGUUAAAGAGAUUAUUCCUCUUUUUUUAGUUGGGUAUGGCUAGUGCGCUUGAGACACUAUGCGGCCAGGCCUACUGCGCAGGACAUCACCGCAUGUUGGGCGUUUACUUGCAACGCUCGUGGGUUGUUCCUGUCUUCCAUUCUGAUGUUGCCGGUGUUCAUUUUUGUCACGCCCGUGUUGAAGUUAAUAGGGAAACCCAUUGCGGUGGCGGAACAGGCGGGUUUAGUGGCGCUUUGGUUGAUCCGUUUCACCUGAGCUUCCCGUUCCAGUUCACUUUGCAGCGGUUUCUUCAGUGCCAGUUGAAGACUGGAAUCAUUGCUUGGGUUUCAGGGUGGCUCUUGUAAAAUUUGUAAGAUAUACGUAUACUUUUUUAUAAUUAGAUUUCUCUCACUUGCAGCAAAAGAUUUUAUUUUACAUUAGUAAAUAUUAAUCCUCUUUUUGACUAUUACUUUCAUUAAUUGCUUUUAAAAAUUUCUCAUAUUUAAUCUAAUUACAAUUUAAUCUUUAAUUAUCAUUUAUUUAUUUAUUAAUUCUUGCUUUAGUCACAUAUCUUUCAUAUCAGAUUUUAAUUCUAACACUAUUCAUGUUAUAGUGAGUUAGUUUUUUGUUUAAAGGAUGAGAAAUGGGAUUGUUGGCACUGCUCUUUCUAUUGGUUUCUCGUGGUGGCUCUCUGUUUUGGGAAUGCUCGGGUAUCCACUCUUUGGUGGGUGCCCUCGCUCGUGGACUGGUUUUUCUGCUGAAGCUUUUAUUGGUCUUUGGGAAUUCUUUAAACCGUCUUUGGCUUCUGGGGUCAUGCUUGCGUUAGUCUUCUUUCUACCACUGUAGUAUUGUUUGGAUAAACCUGUCCGGGAGUACUAAGAAAUUUGUGUUAUUUAACUUUUUCAAAAGCUGAGCUGAAUACCUUCUAUUUUCUUUUCUGAAUGUUGAUUAAGAAAUUUGGGUAAAAUGGACCUUGCUUAGGACAACAGUUGGAUAAAGUUCUAAGUAGUUUCUUAUCUUGAAGUCUUUGAAAGAUUUUUUUUUUAAUUACACAUAUUAAUUAUUAGUUUGUUAAUUUUUUAAUAAAAAAAUUUAAACAUGUAACCUUUGUAUCUUUUCUUCUCUGUCCAUCAUUAGAUUAAUCUUAUAACUUCUGCCAUUCAAAGUUAAGUGAGUUGUCAUCAUAAUAUUGACAAUAUUUGAUGUAAUAUUAUGGGAGUGGCUGUUGGAUCCGGAUGGCAAGCAUAUGUAGCAUACAUAAAUAUAGGAUGCUACUACCUUAUCGGGCUCCCCUCGGAAUUAUCAUGGGCUGGGUCUUCAAAAGUGGUGUAACUGUAAGUAUAAUCCGCUACUUAAUUAUCACAUCUAAACACUGAUUUUGGGUUUGAAUAAUUCUUAAGUGGUGUGCUGACAUGGGAAUGAUAUGCAUGGCAGGGAAUCUUGGGCGGGCAUGAUCUUCGGUGGCACAGCAAUCCAAACGCUGAUACUGAUUAUAGUAACGAUACGAUGUGAUUGGGAAAAGGAGGUAUAGUUUUACUGUUACAUAAAUAAUCCGUAGCUUAUUCCAAUUCCUUAUCAGCAUCACUUGGCAUAUUGACAAACUUGAAAUUAAGAUCUCCACAUAAUAAGUUAUUCAUAUCAAUAGCGUAAAUAUGCAUGUUCUAAUAUUUUUGUUUAAAUUGCAUUUUUUAGGGGGAGAAAGCUUGCUUUCGUGUAAAUAAGUGGUAAAAAAAUCCAACUCCAACGGCCAACUGAAAACCUACAAUUUACAUUAAUUGAUUUAGCCGAUGGAGUUUGCUAUUCGGCAAUCUGAGGUCUGUGAGUUAAUGAUGGAGUUUUGGCGUUGUAUGCGUAUAGUAUAUUGUUCUUUCAAUAUAGUUGUUGUAUUCAAAAUUAAAGGUCCGGUUAUUCUUUAGGAUAGCUAUGUCUGUCAAUAUGUUUUACAUUCGCAGUUGAACUUUUGAGAUCCCCGCUCACCGACAACCCAGUUCUAAUUCCAACCUAUGCUUUUACUUCAUAUUCUUUAGUAAGGUUAAUUAGAUAUAUUAAUCAUAUUUUAGCACAAAAAAAAAGUUAAACUAAUAUUAUUUUUUUACUUUUUUUUUUAUUUUUUUCACUUUUUUUUUAAUUACUUAUUUGGUUUCGGAUUAGUUUUUAUAGUUUUAAAAUGAUUUCUUAGUUUCUCUAUUUUAUAUUUUAAUUCUUUUUUGGUCCCUUUAGUUUGAAAGUGGUUUUUUUAGUCAUUAUCAUUUAUAUUUUAAUUUCUUUUUAGUCCAUGUAAUUUGAAAGUGAUCUUUUUAGUUCUUAUAUUUUAUAUUUUAAUUCCCUUUUAGUCCUUACCAUAUUAUCAAUUAUAAUUAACUAUAAUAAAAAAUAAUUGAUAAUUUAUAACUAAUUUGUAACUAAUUAUUUUUAUAUUUUUUUAGUAAGAACUGAAAAAUAAUUAAAAUAUAAAUUAUAGAGACUAAAAAGAUCAUUUUCAAACUAUAAGGAGUAAAAGAAAAUUAAAAUAUAAACUAGGAUUAAAAAAACCAUUUUUAAAUUUAAGAAUUAAAAAAGAAUUAAAAUAUAAAUUAUUGAGAAUAUAAAAACCACUUUUAAAACUAUAAAAAUUAAAAGGUAAUAAUAAUGUUAAAAUUAUAUAGAGUAAAUAAGUAAUUUAAAGCUUACUUUUUUUUUAUUAAUGCAAGAUUGUGGAAAGUGAUGAAGCUCGUGAUUUACCCCGUCAUCAUUAAUUUCUUUCAUUCAUUGUUUCUAAUUUUUAUUGCUGGCUAACAACUAGCUGGAAAAGGUUCCCUUGUUAUUUAGCAGUCGGAUUGUUAAAAAAUAUAGAAAGAGUUAGUCUAAUAAGAGAAGUCGAGUGGUUGAAAUUAGUUUUAUUUUUUAUUUUUCAUUGUUGCGUGGAUGAAAUUAGUUGAGACAAGAAAUAAGUUGGAUACAUAAUAAUACUAUAAUAGUAACGGAGUGAUCUUGUGCAUGUUUUUCGCAACCAUUUUUUAAGAAUUUUUAUUGCUUAGAAAAAUUCUUACAAAUAAAUGGUAUAAGAGGUAAGUGGCCUAAAAAAACCUUUCUUAUUUGAUAUUUUACUUUUAGUUAUAAUGUUAAUAUAAUUUUACUUCUUUCUUAUAUUUUUAAGUAAAUGGUGCAAAUAAUGAAAAUUUAUUUCCAUUAUGUCAUUUUCAAAUCAAUAAAAUCAAACCAAAAAAAAAUACAUUUCUGUAAUCUAUAAUUAAAAAUAAAAAUAAGCUCUUUCGUUAUUACGUUGGAAUGUGGGUAUGAUACCACAAUUGGACCUGCCAGUAAUAGUUUCUAUCUUAUGGACUUGUGUUAUCUCUCCUACCAAACCUAUGGCAUUGCUUUGCCCACUCAGCAAAUGGCUGAUACACCAGUUCAACAUGCAUAACGAUAGCCAUAGCAGAAUCGAAACCGAUACGGAUUGAUAAUCCGUAAGUCCAAUAUGGAUUAGGCAUGAUACUCUAAUCAACUGAGUUAAUAGACCAAUUAUGUUAUAAAAUAAUUAAUAUCGUUGUAUAUAAUACUAAAAUUUCUAAUAUAUAUUUCAUGCACAUUUAUAUUUAGAUAAUAAAUUUUGUAACAAUUAAUUUUGAUCUAAUAAUUAAUUUAUUUACAUGUAUAAAUUGUAAGCAAAAAUCAGAGAUUUAUUAACAAAUCUAUUAAUUUAUUUUUUGAUCAUAUUAUAAUUAAUUUUGAUCUAAUAAUGUAUUUUUUUACGUAUAUAAAUUUUAAAUAAAAAUCAUAGAUUUCAUAAACAUUUAUAUAUGUAAACAAAUUAAUUAUUAGAUCAAAAUUAAUUUUCACAUAAUUUAUUAUUUAAAUUUAUAUGUGCAUUAAAUAUACAUUAGAAAUUUUAGUAUUAUAUAUAGUGACAUUAAUUAUUUCAUAAAAUAAUUGGUAUAUUAGUUCAGAUAGAGAGUUAUGCUAAGAAUAUGAAAGUUACAUAUUCGAUUCCUACAUUGGUUAUUAAUUUUAAAAUAAUUCAUAUAAUAUAUUUUUGAAAAAAUAAAAAAAUCAUAUGAGCCACUUACUGAUCACCAAUUCAUAUUCAGUAGUAUUGGAAUUGCAUUGUUAUGAUUGGUGUAUCAGCAAUUGAGUUAGGUGCAUGAAGAAAAACCCCUACUCCUACUAUGAUGGAUGAGCCAGGCUCCAGUUGACUCUGGAUAAGCAGAUCUAAAAGGCUAAGUUCGGGAUUGCAGGAAGCAAUUGCCCAAAUUCAGACAUCAUACAGCGUGGACGCCCACGCACUGUUUGACACAGUUCCUCGUAGCACAAUAACUUUAGCUAACAUGCAUAUAUCCACUAUACUACUUAUUAUAAAAAAAAAAAUACGGUAUACUAUUAAUAGGCAACACUUUGUUUCGAUCGAUCAAUCAGAUCCAGCACUUGUUCAACAUCUGGCCUUUUAUUGUUAAUAUAAUUCCAUUUUUUUGCCUCCACAAUCACCAUACCUCUGCUAUCCAAACUCUUUCUGCACCGACUCUUACGGAUUGUUUGGUUGUGAGGAGGGAAGAGAAGUAGAAAAAAUAAUAGAAAUGAUUAUUUGGUUGAAAAAAAUAGAUAAUAAUAGAAUAUAAAAUUUUGAAUUAAAAUUAGUUAACAAAUAAUAAAAUAAUGGAAAGGAAACAUUGGAGUUGAGUAAAUGAUAAUUUUAACAUUUUUAAAACAGGAUAUUUACUCCACCAAGCCCUAUAAGUCAUUUUAACUGGUUUUCAAUCAUAUUUUCUUUUGUUAACUGGUUUUGAUCCUACGAUUCCAUUGAAUAGGCACAAGAAUAAAACUUUUAUCUGCAAAUAAAAUUUUUCUACAAAUUAAUCUGAUUAUGGUCCUUUUUUUUUAUCUGCAAAUAAAUUUUAUCCUUCCCCCUCUCUCUCUCUGUCUCUCACCCCACCAUCAUCAUGUGUUUCCCUUUUACAACUUUUCUUCACCAACAAGUUUGCAAUCGGAAGUUCACCAACAUAUCACAUACCAUGCAAAUCACAAAUCUGAAUGCAUUCCAAUUUUAUAUUUCAAACCCACAAAAAUCUAUAUUUAAGAAAUAUAAAAUCCACAAAAUUCUCACAAAAAGUAACUCAUUCAUUUCAAAUAUCAAACCUUUCAAACCAAAUUAUACAAUUUCAGAGCAACUAAAAUUGAAAUAAAAAAUGGUCAGUGAUGUUGACAAGGCCAGUAGAUCCAGGGACAAUGACGGUGGCGGCGAGCAUGGAGGAGGGAGUGGAGGGAGAUGAUGUUUUUCAUGGUGUAGAUCUGAAAAAAUGAAAGAGAAAGCAUUCCCUAAAAACCAAAAAAAAUGAAGAACGGUGUUGAAUAAGUUGGCCACACCCUCCACGCAAACACGUUCACAGGGGCAGCGUGCGGUGGUCGGUUCGACUUUGGAUUCGACGGCAACGAUGACCGUUGCGACGACGUUCGCAGUCUCACAGAGUUGUUGCGGUUAAACCGCGGGUAACAAUUUCUCCUUAAUAAAAAAACACCUAUUUCUUCCUAUAGAUAUUUUUAGCAUUUUAAAUGAUUAAAACAUUCAACAACAGAAAUUUGUAUUACAUUUUUAUUAUUUGAAAUAAAAAAUAUUUUUAGUUUUAUGUGUAAAAUUAGUAAAUAUUUUACGGGAAUUAUUGUUUAGUUAUUUGAAAUUAUAUACUUAAAUAAUUACAAAAAAGGGGAAAAAAAGCCACCUUUAUCAGAGUUCUGGAUCCGAUCUUGUUUGGGUACAUACAUAUUUACAUAAAACUCUGGGAAAUUUUCUUGUCCCUAAACAGUAAACAACAACACUGAGUAUAAAAAGGUGAGUGACUUGUAAGUAUAAGCAUGGAUUCUGGAAAGCUAAGAUCAAAUUUAUUUAAUUAAGAUUUUCUCUAUUUUUUAGUUGUAGCCAAUUGCUUGUUAUCUCGCAAUGAAAUUCAACAAUAAGAUAUGAAAUGUUUUGAUGGUCAUCCCAUUAAAUUUUGAGAAUCAUGUAGAAUAAUUAAGACUUUUUUCUUUGAUAAAAUUACUACUAUAAAUUUGAAAUGUGAAACAAAUGAGUUUUCAAGUUAUUUAUCAAAUCCCGUAAAAAAAAGUUAUGUAUCAAAUAUAUCUCUCACAAUCAUGUACAAUAAGACAAAUCAUAAAAUGUGUUUGCCAAUCAUGUCAGGCAAACACAAGUCAUCAAAUGCAUUUAUUAAAAUAAUUUUAUUUCAGUUAGCUCACAAGUUUAUAACUUUUCUCUUUCACUUUUAUCCUUAACGUUUUACUCUACUUUUUUUACUUUAUCUAUUUCUGAAUUGUUGUUAUACCAUCAUCCCUUGUAUCGUCUCUUUUUAGAAUCUUAUUUUUAUCUUAGAUAUUGUUCUCUUUAUAACAUUAUUUUUCACUUAACAUUGUUUAUUUUAUUUUUAAUGAAAUAAACUCUAAACCACGCCUAAUACAUCCAGAAGGACCAGAAGAGAGGAACAUAAAAAGUUCAAAAAUCAAUCAAAAAAGUCCACUAAAUCUCUUCUUUAAUUUCUUUUUUUUACAGAAAUCUCUUUGUUAUCUUGAUAUACAUUAUAAGAUCUGUUUUUUACACUUU
rnacentral:lncRNA from 1 species